rnacentral:lncRNA from 1 species
GGUGCGGGCUUUGCAAGGCAGGGCUCGCUGCUCUCCAAGGGGGGCAGGCGACAGCCACUGGUGACACCGUGUGUCACAACACACGUAUUUUCAACUUGUACACUGGUAAUUGUUCAAGGAGUGUGGCUGGUGUUGUUCCCUUCCUCUGGUUGUUGAUUUCUCAACGGAAUCGCUGCUUGUGUGCUUAAGUUGUUCCUUCGUAGCCUUUCAUUGAGUUUAAUCUGUUCCCUUCUCUGGUUUUUGCUGCCUCAAGCACUGCCGUAUAUAAAUUGAUUCGAUUGAUUACAAAGGAGCGAGGUGGUACUAUUUAUUUUGAUAAUAAACAUAUUUCUUCUUCUUACAGCAAAAGCACGCAACCGCACUCGUUUCUAUCCCCCCCCUUCGCAAAUCCCCCCUUUUUGCCACUCCAGUAGCCCGGCCUCCCUGCCUCCGACCGCGCCUGGAGAGGAGCUCCAGCUGUGCCACGAGCAGGCCAGCCCAGGAGCUGUCACUUCCCCCUCUCUCCUUCUCUCUCUCGACUUUUACCUUCUUCUUCUCUCUGUUUCUAAUCUUUGUUUUCUAUAGGGAAGUCACCAUGGAACAACCCCGCCGCCUUGGAGCUCGGCCCGCCUCCGGCCGGCCACCUCUCCGUCGGCCUCGUGCUCCUCCGCCUCGAUCCGUCCGCCCCAUCGCCGUAUCCGCGCCGGAGCAGCCGGAUCCGCUGCCCAGACCACCAACCAAGAGCCGCCUCUUGCCUGUCCUACGGCCGAGAGGAGGACGACCGAGAGGAGCGCCCAUUGAUCCGCCGCCUGGGCCGCCUUGGAGCACGCCCUGCCUCCGGCCGCCACCUCUCCGUCAGCCUCGCGCUACUCCGACAUGAUCCGUCUGCCCCACCGCCGGAUCCGCCGCCCAGACCACCAACCAAGCAUCGGCCCUUCCCUUUCCUGCGGUCGUGGGUUGAAUAAUAUAAACUGCAGGGUCCUUUUUUAAGAACAAAUCGUUUUUUAGAUUAGCCACUUUAAAAAAGGACCGCGGGUUGAAU